UACGUAGGGUGCGAGCGUUAAUCGGAAUUACUGGGCGUAAAGUGUGCGCAGGCGGCCGAGCAAGUCGGGUGUGAAAGCCCCGGGCUUAACUUGGGAAUUGCGCUCGAAACUACUUGGCUGGAGUGUGGUAGAGGAAGGUGGAAUUCCAGGUGUAGCGGUGAAAUGCGUAGAGAUCUGGAGGAACACCGAUGGCGAAGGCAGCCUUCUGGGCCAACACUGACGCUCAUGCACGAAAGCGUGGGGAGCAAACAGG
rnacentral:rRNA from 1 species